rnacentral:lncRNA from 1 species
UUUUUUUUUAAUAUGAUAUAUAUUAUUAAUUUCAAGUCUUCCUUCAUAAGAAUAUCCCGGUUCUGAAAAGCGAGGUAUGAUCCAUUGCAUUGUGCAAAUCCAAGGAUGCCAUGGCACCAUGGGAUAGAGCAGAUCCCUCCACCAGCAGCUCCACUGCAUCCAAAGCACUCGGACUGUGCAGACCAGGACAGAGCCAGGAAGCGCUCAGUGCCCCGCUGGGCUUCUCCCCCAGCAGUGGGCCCUCCUUUCACACAAUCACAGAAUGAUUUAUGGAAAAGACCUCUCAGAUCCACAGCCCAACCCCAGCCCACCCCACCGUGCCCACUGACAGCGUCCCUCAGUGCCUCAUCCCCACAGUUCUGGAAUAGCUCCAGGGACGACGACCCCCCACUCCCUGACCAGUCUGUGCCACUGCAUCACUGCUCUUUUGGAGGAGGAAUUUUCCCUAAUAUCCAACCUGACCCCCCCCAGACACAACAUGAGGCCAUUGCCUCUCAUCCUAUCAUCCAGGAUGCACAGCAUCUGUCUCUGUUUUUCUGGAACUUUUUAACAGAACUUUCACAGAAAAUAAUAUUGUGAAUAUUCUAAUUUAACCCCAAAGAUAAAAUGUUAUCAAUGUUAGUUUUAGACUUCUGAGCAGAACAGGAAAUCCACGUUCUGAGCUUUCCCACUGGUGGUAAAAUGGAGUAGACCCAAAGUGGAAGCCAAGAGCAAUGCAGGAUGCAGCCCCGGGAGCUGCGAGGCUGAGCGUUACAGGAGGGAGCGUGGAGGACUUCACCGCCGCUUUUGAGGGAUUGCAGCAGAGAAAGGCAGCCAAGGGUGCGUCGGUAAAUCCAGCAGUGCGAUCUCCUUUAGCUCAGCCCACACGUCGUCAAUGUCUUGCACUUGUUGGCUUUUGACUGCUGUUGGCUUUGCAGGUCUCCCCACAUCGUAAAUCAGCACCGCUUCCCUCCGUGGCCAUGUGCUGGGCACCGCUGGAAGGGGAACCAGGGCCACUCCUGGCUCUCGGUGUGCUGCAAAGCGCUUUGUUGGGUCGGAGCAAACUGCUGUUCUCAUAACGAGGGGAUCUCGCGUUCAUUCUGCUGGCAGAGCUGCGGGGGAUGAUAGCAGGGAAGUGCUGCCGCUGCUGUUGGAAUGAUCUGAGCUAAUCCGAGGUGCAGCUCACAGCAUCUCCUGGAGGAGCCUGACCUGGUGACGAAG